UACGAAGGGGGCUAGCGUUGCUCGGAAUCACUGGGCGUAAAGCGCACGUAGGCGGAUUGUUAAGUCAGGGGUGAAAUCCUGGAGCUCAACUCCAGAACUGCCUUUGAUACUGGCGAUCUCGAGUCCGGGAGAGGUGAGUGGAACUGCGAGUGUAGAGGUGAAAUUCGUAGAUAUUCGCAAGAACACCAGUGGCGAAGGCAGCUCACUGGCCCGGUACUGACGCUGAGGUGCGAAAGCCAGGGGAGCAAACGGG
rnacentral:rRNA from 1 species